AAAUGGAGAACAGCUGCUCACGCUCGUCGUCUGACAUCAGCUAUUUCUCAGGAUGACCCUGCGAGACAGGCCAGGGUCAUUAGACCCAAUUUGGUUCUCAGCAAAUAUGUGUUUAUUCCUGCAUGCGUGGGCCACAGGCUGGUUUCUUGGGUGCAAUGAAUAGCUGCAGGUUUAUUAGGGUGUCUUUUUAGAUGGAUGUAUGUUUCCCGAUGUCUAUAGAACACUCCGGACCCCGGAGAGUGAAGACUCUGCCUGUCGGACUUGCUUUGAGAAGAUCCUUCUCCACCUCCCCAUGGCAGAAGUUGCUUCACAGAGGGGAACAGUUUUAUGGAUGUGGCUGAGACCUUAAACUUGAGGCAACCCAUCUGAGGUGGCAUCCAGAGGAGACUGGCUGGCCCCUCCUUCACCUUGGAUGUAGUGCUGUUUCUAGGAUCUCUUUUCAAUCAGCAAAACAGGGGAUGUUCCAAGAGGGUGUGGAUUCCCUGCCAUCCCACAUGGUCAAGUGGAGGGGACGGGAAAAAGCUAUGAAGGGUUUGUGACCACACAGACUCUCCUGGCCCCCUGUCCUUUUGGAAAGAAGACAGGGAUGAAAUAUAAUCAAGCAAUUAACCACCCCCAUCAUCACCAAGAACAACAGUAUCAACAAGAAGAACAGGGACAACAAAACCCACGGAUGAAACAUUCCUUUCUCAGCUCAGAUCUUAUCUGGUGCGUUCUCUCUCUGCUCUGUCUUGGUGUGUGGUUUAGAGAAACAUGGACAACGCUGUUUGGAAGAACAGUCUGUUCCAGGGAAACAGCUGGAUUCAGACUGAACUGGCAGACACUGCACGUGUUCUACAGAGAAGAAAGAGGAUGAUGGUAAAGCAGACUGCAGUCUUCAGGCCUGGAGCAGAGAAGGGAGAGUUCCUGCUCUAGUAGCCAGUCCUGCCAGGGUUCUGGCUGUGCCGGGACAGUGAAUGGCCACUCCGUCCCAGAUGAGCUGCAGGAAGCGUUUCGAUGUCAUGUGGAGGAGCCGCCGAGUGAUUGAUGGGCCCCAGCUUGAAUGGAAAGUCCAGAUUCCAGCAACACAGCUUAAGAGAUGAAGGUUGCUUGAGCAGGAAAUCCACCCAUGGCCCAAAGAGGAAAGAUCCGCUUUAAAUGCCUGGGCAUAUACUUCCAAGAACCAGAUGUGGCCUGUUCCUUACACCUCCCUGGGCUUAGAUGACAGCUUGAACUCUGCGGCUGAUGGAAUUGAGCAGAUGGGAAUGACCUGGAAUCUAACACUCUACAAUUCAGACACACCACUGUCCACUUGUCCCUCCCUUCCUGCCACUGGCCCUGCCAGCGUACCUUGUGUACUUCGCAAAGGUCACUGGCUCCUGUUUUAUGUAAUGACUGACAGACGAUCUCGCCCAGCUCAGCAAUGUGAACAGACACCUUGCAUGGUGCCGGUGGUGGGUGCGGUUGUUUCUGGAUGUCAUGGAAGAGGCUGGGGCAUACCAGGGCUUUCCCCAAUUGUGCCUAAAAUAAAUUGGCUCUUGGGAGGUU
rnacentral:lncRNA from 1 species